UACGAAGGGUGCAAGCGUUAUUCGGAAUUACUGGGCGUAAAGCGUGCGUAGGCGGUGAGUUAAGUCUGUCGUGAAAGCCCCGGGCUCAACCUGGGAAUGGCGAUGGAUACUGGCUCGCUAGAGUGCGGUAGAGGAGAGUGGAAUUCCCGGUGUAGCAGUGAAAUGCGUAGAGAUCGGGAGGAACACCAGCGGCGAAGGCGGCUAUCUGGACAGAUAUUGACGCUGAGGUGCGAAAGCGUGGGGAGCAAACAGG
rnacentral:rRNA from 1 species